rnacentral:rRNA from 1 species
GACGGAGGGUGCAAGCGUUAAUCGGAUUUAUUGGGCGUAAAGGGCGCGUAGGCGGGAAUGUUAGUCAGAUGUGAAAUCCCGGGGCUUAACUCCGGAACGGCAUUUGAAACUGCAUUCCUUGAGGGUAGAAGGAGAGAACGGAAUUCCACGUGUAGCGGUGAAAUGCGUAGAUAUGUGGAAGAACACCGGUGGCGAAGGCGGUUCUCUAUUUUAUUCCUGACGCUGAGGCGCGAAAGCAAGGGGAUCAAACAGG